CCUACGGGAGGCUGCAGUGGGGAAUAUUGCACAAUGGGGGAAACCCUGAUGCAGCGACGCCGCGUGCGUGAAGAAGUAUUUCGGUAUGUUAAGCUCUUUCAGUAGGGGAGAAAAUGACGGUACGUGUUUAAGAAGCUACGUCUAACUACGUUCCAGCAGCCGCGGUAAUACGUAGGGAGCAAGCGUUAUCCGGAUUUACUGGGUGUAAAGGGAGCGUAGACGGUGUUGCAAGUCAGAAGUGAAAGGCCGGGGCGCAACGCGGGGACUGCUUUUGCAACUGGGUUACUGGAGUGCAGGGUAGGUAAGCGGAAUUCGUGGUGUAGCGGUGAAAUGCGUAGAUAUCAGGAAGAACGCCGGUGGCGAAGGCAGCUUACUGGAGUGUAACUGACGUUGAGGCUCGAAAGCGUGGGGAGCGAACAGGAUUAGAUACCCUGGUAGUC
rnacentral:rRNA from 1 species